rnacentral:rRNA from 1 species
ACGAUGAGUGCUAAGUGUUAGAGGGUUUCCGCCCUUUAGUGCUGCAGCAAACGCAUUAAGCACUCCGCCUGGGGAGUACGGUCGCAAGACUGAAACUCAAAGGAAUUGACGGGGGCCCGCACAAGCGGUGGAGCAUGUGGUUUAAUUCGAAGCAACGCGAAGAACCUUACCAGGUCUUGACAUCCUCUGACAACCCUAGAGAUAGGGCUUCCCCUUCGGGGGCAGAGUGACAGGUGGUGCAUGGUUGUCGUCAGCUCGUGUCGUGAGAUGUUGGGUU